GUGGCGGAGCCACGUACUGUUUUUUUUUUUAAAAAAAAAAAAUUGAAAAAAUAAAAAAAUAACCUAAACAAACAUGCGCCUUUUUCUUCACUCUCUCAACUCUCAAACAAAUCUCAGAAGUCAGAUCUCUCACUCAGCACUCGUCGCCUCCUCUCCGUUCGUCGCCUCUUCUCCGUCGUCGCUUCUUCUCAGUCGUCAGUCGUCACCUCCUCAAAGUCGUGGGCUUUUCGCCUCCUCUCAGUGGUCGCCUCCUCUCAGUCGUCGUCGUCGGUCGUCGCGUCGUCGGAGUCUCAGAGAAAAUCAGAAAAAAUGUUUGAACUUUGAAUAAACCGGACGAGUACUCCGACGCCGAGCCUCCGACAGUCCGACUCCGACAGGCCGACAAGCAGUUUACAGAGAAUCACAGUUGUUCAGAUUAAACUGACAGUCAUACAUUUGUGGUUUCUCUCCGGGGAAUGGCGACAUCUGGUUUUGGGCGGCGUCAAGCAACUGUAACAUCUUCUCUGUUUACUCUAACUUUAUUAGACAUUGUUAUUAAAGCGGCUUUAAUAGCAAUGGUUUAAUUGUGGGCAGAGGUGGUUUUGUGGCGUGGUGGAGACGAAGGACAAUAUGACAAAACACAAAUCAAAGCAAAAGAAAUGAAGGAUAUAACAAAAAAGAAACAGAAACUUUGUAAGCAAAUAGUUAUAUGUGGUAUGCUAACCUUAAUUGCCAGUUCAUGAUUUCCUUCAUACCUGUUCUGUUUUGACGGUUUUUGCGAUGCCUUUGAUAUGACAAAUUUGGAUUCCAACUGCUACAACGAAGGUUGUAUCCUUUUCUUUUUCACUUUCUAUUUUAACUCAUUUUAUUUUGCGUAAUGCCCUAUUUGGAUUUAAGAAUUUCAUUUGAAAUUCUGGACUUUGUGCAAAUCCCCUGUUUGAAUGAUAAAGAAUUUAGAACCUGGAAUUACACCAAGCUACUUUCACUCCACCUUUACUUCUAUCUUUUAUUACACGUGUUGCAGUAGCUUAAGUCUUAUUAUCUUUCACUUCUAUCCUUUCUCUCUCCUGUGAUGCUCCUCAUCUCUCUUUCCACCAUAUUCAUCAAAGAGAUGCAAGAUUUUAAUCACUGUUUAACAUGCCUUAUUAUUCUUCUGGCAUCAUCACUUGUUGCGUGGUAAUGCAUAUUAUACUAUUUGCUUUUUCCUCACUAAAAUUUUCCCCAUUUUUUUGAUCGGCGAUUGAAGAUGCGAAAACCUUUGUCUUUUUGUUCAAUGCUACAGUAUGUUGUGCUCACACAUUUUUGUUUCUUUUUUUCGGUUAUAUUUGUUUCCAUUGUUAAUUAUUCAAAGAACUUUCUAAUUUCUGUUGUAGCUGCUACAGUGAAAUGGAGAUCUUAUGGGGUUUGAAGAUUAUGUUUUGGGUAAUGUUUAGGGUGAUGUUGUUGCUAUAUUUAGAGUCAAAUUAUAGUAGGACUUUUGUGGAUUUAUAAGGUGACUUCAAUGAUUUGAUUGUUUUGGUUUUUUGUAGGUGUUUUGUUCUAACAGGAAUAUUGGCAGUUAACAUGAUUUUUUGGAAGAUGUAUAGCAGUUUGGAAGAUGUACAACAGUUGCAGCUUUUGGAGAUCUUUUAUGCACAGAGUUUUGGGAACAGAUUGCCAGACAUGAUGCAUUGACUAUCUGGCUUACAUUACGAUUCAGUUAGGCUUCGAUUUUGCUAUUGUCAUAGUUGGUCAGGCUUAGUUUUUUGUAAGUAGGGGUCGCUCGCACAUGAUAGGCCUAUCCAUUGUGAACCCUUCCUAUAAGGUGUCACAUGAGAAAGGCGUUUAUGCAUAUUAUGCUUUAUUGCCAGGAUUGGUUAUGUUAAAACCUUUUAGGUUAUUAUGUUUGGGGGAUGGGAAUUAUUGUUGGCCAUCUGUGGAUAAUAUUUUGGAUUGUGUACAGUUGUCAUACGAUCAUAUAAAUAAAUAUAUCUUUCAUGAAUAAAUUUAUAAUUUUUUA